UACGGAGGGUGCAAACGUUGCUCGGAAUCAUUGGGCGUAAAGCGCACGUAGGCGGUCCAGCAAGUCGGGUGUGGAAGCCCUCGGCUUAACCGAGGAAGUGCAUUCGAAACUACUGGACUUGAAUACUGGAGAGGAUCGCGGAAUUCCCGGUGUAGAGGUGAAAAUUCGUAGAUAUCGGGAGGAACACCAGUGGCGAAGGCGGCGAUCUGGACAGAUAUUGACGCUGAGGUGCGAAAGCGUGGGGAGCAAACAGG
rnacentral:rRNA from 1 species